AGUACCGUGAGGGAAAGGUGAAAAGAACCCCGGGAGGGGAGUGAAAGAGAACCUGAAACCGUAUGUCUACAAGCAGUCGGAGCGAAAGCGACGGCGUGCCUAUUGAAGAAUGAACCAACGAGUUACGUGCACUAGCGAGGUUAAGUGGAAGACACGGAGCCGAAGCGAAAGCGAGUCUUAAGAGGGCGGAUAGUUAGUGUACGUAGACCCGAAACCGCAGUGAUCUACCCAUGUCCAGGUUGAAGCGCAGGUAAAAUUGCGUGGAGGACCGAACCUGUGAGCGUUGAAAAGCUUUAGGAUGAGAUGUGGGUAGAGGUGAAAUUCCAAUCGAACGCGGAGAUAGCUGGUUCUCCCCGAAAUAGCUUUAGGGCUAGCCUCAAGUAGUAAGUAUAGGCGGUAGAGCACUGAUCGGGCUAGGGGCCAUAAAGGUUACCGAACCCUGUCAAACUCCGAAUGGUUAUACUGUAGAGCUUGGGAGUCAGACUACGAGUGAUAAGAUCCGUGGUCAAAAGGGAAACAGCCCAGACCACCAGCUAAGGUCCCCAAUGUCGUACUAAGUGGAAAAGGAUGUGGGGUCUCUAAAACAACCAGGAUGUUGGCUUAGAAGCAGCCACCAUUUAAAGAGUGCGUAAUAGCUCACUGGUCGAGAGACCCUGCGCCGAAGAUUACCGGGGCUAAAGUACGAAACCGAAGCUGUGGCUACGACGUAAGUCGUGGGGUAGGGGAGCGUUCUGUGAGGGCUGAAGUCGUUCUGUAAGGAACGGUGGACUUCACAGAAGUGAGAAUGUUGGUAUGAGUAGCGAAAAGAAUGGUGAGAAUCCAUUCCACCGAAAGCAUAAGGAUUCCUGGGCAACGAUCGUCGUCCCAGGGUAAGUCGGGACCUAAUCCGAGGCAUGGAGCGUAGGAGAUGGACAACUGGCAGAUAUUCCAGUACCGGUAAUGAUUGUUUGAGCGAUGGAGUGACACAGGAGGGCAGGCAGGCAGGAGAUUGGUUGUUCCUGUACAAGCGUGUAGGAUGGGACGUAGGCAAAUCCGCGCCCUGUGAGUCUGAGGCGUGAUGUGGAGGUUCCGGAAACGGAACUGAAGCUGCUGACCCCACACUGUCGAGAAAAGCUUCUAGUUAGAGAAUUACCGCCCGUACCGUAAACCGACACAGGUAUGCGGGGAGAGAAUCCUAAGGUGCGCGGGAGAACCCUCGUUAAGGAACUCGGCAAAAUGUACCCGUAACUUCGGGAUAAGGGUAGCCGCUGUUGUGAAGUCUGAACAGACGGAGCAUGAGGCGGUCGCAGAGAAGAGGCCCAAGCGACUGUUUACCACAAACACAGGUGCCUGCUAAAGAGAAAUCUGACGUAUAGGUGCUGACACCUGCCCAGUGCCGGAAGGUUAAGGAAGGAUGUCCGGAGCAAUCCAAAGCAUUCGACCGAAGCCCCGGUGAACGGCGGCCGUAACUAUAACGGUCCUAAGGUAGCGAAAUUCCUUGUCGGGUAAGUUCCGACCCGCACGAAAGGUGUAACGAUUUGGGCACUGUCUCAACGAGGGACCCGGUGAAAUUGAAGUACCUGUGAAGAUGCAGGUUACCCGCGACUGGACAGAAAGACCCCAUGGAGCUUUACUGUAACCUGACAUUGGGUUCUGAUACAUCACGUACAGGAUAGGUGGGAGGCAUGGAAGCGAGGACGCUAGUCUUCGUGGAGCCGCCGUUGGGAUACCACCCUUGAUGUAUCGGAAUUCUAACCGUAGGAGUAACGAAACUCGGGACAGUGUCAGGCGGGCAGUUUGACUGGGGCGGUCGCCUCCCAAAGAGUAACGGAGGCGCCCAAAGGUUCCCUCAGCGCGGCCGGAAAUCGCGCGAAGAGUGUAAAGGCAGAAGGGAGCUUGACUGAGAGCCAAACACGGCGAUCAGGUACGAAAGUAGGGCUUAGUGAUCCGGUGGCAUCCAAGUGGAAGGGCCAUCGCUCAACGGAUAAAAGCUACCCUGGGGAUAACAGGCUAAUCUCUCCCAAGAGUCCAUAUCGACGGGGAGGUUUGGCACCUCGAUGUCGGCUCAUCACAUCCUGGGGCUG
rnacentral:rRNA from 1 species